rnacentral:rRNA from 1 species
AUUGAACGCUGGCGGCAGGCUUAACACAUGAAAGUCGAACGAGUGGCGGACGGGUGAGUAAUGCUUGGGAAUCUAGCUUAUGGAGGGGGAUAACUAAGGGAAAAUGUAGCUAAUAACGCGUACCAUAGGAUGAGCCCAAGUGGGAUUAGGUAGUUGGUGAGGUAAAGGCUCACCAAGCCGACGAUCUCUAGCUGGUCUGAGAGGGUGACCAGACACACUGGGACUGAGACACGACCCAGACUCCUACGGGAGGCAGCAGGGGGGAAUAUUGCGCAAUGGGGGCGACCUGACGCAGCCAUGCCGCGUGAAUGAAGAAGUCCUUCGGGUUGGAAAUUUCUUUCGGUAGCGAGGCGUUAACUACAGAAGAAGCACCGGCUAACUCCGUGCCAGCAGCCACGGUAAUAC